UAUCGAAGAAGAGGCCUCCUGUCGGAAU
rnacentral:sRNA from 1 species